CUGCUCUUCCCCUUGCCCAUGGACCUGUCUGCUCAGUCCCUGGAUCUCCCAGGAUCAUGCCGAAAAUUUUGCUCUGGAACACAGCACUGGUACUUGCACAAAGUGGAUUUUAAACUUAAUGUCAGCAGCUUCCUUUCUGGGAAGAACCUCGGGAAUAACCAGGAGUGUGGGGAGUGCCUGAAUAACCUGCCGUGUCCCCAAAGUCCUCAAUCACUAGAGCACAGCAAGGGGUGAGUGAGAACCAGACAACACUCAGGAGCUCCAGGUCCACAGCAGCUGCACACCCACCACACACCCUCCUGUGUGACACAACCCUCCUGUCCACUGCCAGAGAAACAAAAACACAGCAGAAGGCAAGGUACAGGAACAUGGGAGCCUUCUACAUGAAAGGAGUCACAGCACCCACCAUGCUGCCCAUGUUGGGGCAUCUCUCUCUUGAGCCCCAGAACUAACCUGGAGCCAUCACCACCCACAAAUCUGGUAUGUUCACCCUGCACGAAGCCAAACAGAAACCAGAGACAUGGGGGUCCCAUCCGGUGGGGACCAGCAAUACCAGUGGGAAUGAGCAUGUUCUGGCAGCUCCAAAUCCACACUGGAGACCCUGUCAAUGCCCUUCAUUCACAUAAACUCUGCAGCGCUGGUUAUGCAGCUGCUUCUCUCCCUGCUGAAGUGCUGGGGGAGCAGGGGGGUACCUGGUGUUUCCUGGAACAGGUCGUAUCUGCUGCCAUUCAUCUUCCAGGGGCGCUCAGCUGCGUGGGCAGAGCUAGGGAAGUCUCGCCCCUGGAUGGGGCUGUGCAGCCGGUGAGCCCCGCGCGGGCAGCGGGGCACGAGCCAUGCCCAGGAGCUGCUUGUGGCGCAGAGGCAGGGACAGGCUAAUCCCUUAAUGCUGGUCACAAUGAGAUUUGAUGGGGAGCAGGAGUUUGUGCCGCAGAGCCGCAGGUUUUAAAGGGUUCUGGCCACUGCCCGGAGGAAAAUUCUAAGGUGGCUCUGGGUCUGUGCCCUGCUGCCAGUGCCCGCAGCGAUGCCCGCUGCUUUCUGGGCCACCUUUCUGAGGUCCCUCACCCUCCUCUCUGGCCUGCCACUGCAUUUCUUUAGGGCAGGGAGUACCUGACCAUCUGUGCGGCCCUGGAGGUUGAUCCAGAAAAUGUGCCUGGGUGUGUCUAACAGCAGGAGUGGGCCUGGCUCCUCCGGGAGAAGCUGACUGCUUUUGCUUUAAAGUGUUUCUAUAUAAAUAACCAGAACACCGUGUCCUUGAGCAACAAUCUUGUUUUCCCCUCCCAGCUAACAUCACAGCACAGGAUGGCUCAGUGCAAAGGGGAGCAGGGACACUGCUGAACACCCAAAAUUUUCUCCUUUGCAGGAAGUGUGUUCUGGCAAGUGUGGGCCUGUUUAUAAUGGAGGAGGAAAAUGGUGUGAGGGAAUAGAGUGGCACUUCACUGGGGUUUCACAGGCACUGGGUGGAUUGCUGAAAGGGAGGCCUGGACACCUCUGAAUUCAGCCUUGGGCUGCAUGGCUGUGACCCAAUUAGAGCCAGGUCUUAUCAGCCUCUGUGUCCAGAAGAACCAAUUCAGCGACAGACCCACCUGAAACAUCCAUUUCCCUGCAUUUUCCUUCCUCCUCAGAUGACUCUUUUCCUGCCAAGCCUACCUCUGCUUUUGCUGUGCCAAGGAGAAGAGAGCUCAUUCCCACCCUCCAGCCAUCAGGUCCCAAGCACCACCUCAAAGGCACUACUCUAAUGGAGCAAAAGCAUUCCCAAGCCAUUCCUGUCUCCACAAGCUUUUGCUUCCACUCAGAACUGCCUGAGUUAUAUUUGAGUUAAUUUGGAGUGCCCACAGUCAGCAACUUCCAGAAUGCUGCUGGUGGGUCAGGAAUGGGGAGUGAGCAGCAGCUCUGCCCCUCAGCUCUGUGCCCA